rnacentral:tRNA from 2 species
UGGGGUGUAGCUCAGUGGUCUCAGAGCAUUCGACUGCAGAUCGAGAGGUCCGUGGUUCAACUCAGCGUGACCCUU